GAAAGCUGUACAAAUUUCCGCCGCACAGAGACUCUUAAGCCCCAAAAAUUUUCAGUUCCCCCCAAAAUUUCACUAACUCUUUUCAGCUCCCCCCAAAAUUUCACUAACUCCCUCGAUUCACCUCACCCUCACACCCCCGAUCCUCUGCUCACUUCACAAAUAUCACACAUCACAGCUCUUAAUCACCGAUCUCACUGGUCCCUUCAUCCCGAUUCUCAGCUCACAUAUGGAUAUUCAUCUUGAUCUUAGAUUAAUCAAGGGUUUAAUCUCAUGGGUUUUCUUCAAAUUGCUUUUAAUUACUAAUAACUUCUUCUAAUUUAUCUUAUUUGUGUCGAUUUGGUUUGCACAUCUCCAUUUUUGUGUGUGUUUAGGGUUUUUACAAUUUCUUAAGAUUAGGGCUUAUAAUUGGGGCUUGAAAUCAAGAUAAAUGGGGUUGUAUUUUGGGGGUUUAGUUGAUUUAUUUUAGAUAUUUCGAUUUAUAUAUAGUAUUUAUUUGCUGAUAUUUUUGGUUUUGUAGAAACUAAAAGAUCUGAGGCUUUUGUUCUUUCCUGUUUCAGUUCUGUGCGAGCUCUAUGAUCUCAAGUUAAUUUGUUUGCAUUAAGGUGUAUCAUGUAAGUUUGUACUUUCAUAUAUACCUUGUGAGAUUCUUCUAUUUAGAAUGUUUAUACAAUAUUAGUUCACUAUUUUUUCACAUAUAUGGCGCUGACCAGUGGAGAAUAGUAUCUUCUAUGCCGAUGGUGCCGACUGUCAUAUUAAUGUUUUCUGGGUGUUUUUGUUACAUUCCAAGAAGAUGAUUAGGCCUUUUAAAGUUUCUUCAUUUUUAAGUAAAAGAAGUAAUUUACUAUAGAUUCUAUAUUUCUAUUAUCCUUUGCUUUUUAUUUGGCCCUGAUUUUACAUGUAAAGCACCUGGUUUUGCUAACUAAUAACAUGGCUUUGAGUAAAAGAAGUGAUUUAUUGUGGAUUCUAUAUUCCUAUUAUCUUUUACUUUUUAUUUGGCCCUGAUUUUACAUGUAAAGCACCUCAUUUCCCUAUGUAACAUGUUACUCCGGCUUGCCAUGACAAGUUUGAUCUGUAUGAGUUGAAUCACAUUUGUUUCUCUUCAUUGUUAGAUAUAUCGUAUGGGGUUAUCUAUUAUUACAAUAAAAUGUUUAAAGAUGAUAUCCCAAUUAAUGAGUAUAAUUUUAUGAGAUGUGUACCUUAGUCAAUAAGCUUCCUACCGAUUGUUAUUUUCAGCAAUGCCAAUAAGUUUACUCAUCAGUUACUUACCUUUCAUGUAGAUAUGCAAUGCAGUUUUUGUUGCAAGAAUUAUGAAUGUUUUGUUGAGGUUUGUUAAUGAAUUUGUUGCUUGAAAUUGGAACUCGUGUACACAGAGAAAGACUCUUCAGGAAACUUGACUCUCUAAUAUAAUUUUUAGUUCAUAAAUCUUGUAUGAUGCUGAGUAUUGCAUUACAGGAGUGGUAAAUUUACAAGUAGUUCGAAAUAUAUUUGUGUAGAUAUAUAGUUUAGUGACCUUAUACUAUGCACAAAAAGUCGGAAUGCUUUAGUUUAUAAGUUGGCCUUCUUUGGCUUCUGCAGGUUUUGUAUUUAAUCUCUGAUCUGUGAUGUGAUGCUCAAUUACAGGGAGAUGACAGAAGUAGAUGAGGCAUAUGAUUUUGUUAAGGUAGGAGUCUUAGUUUGGUCCCUACUGCAGACAUUAUUAAUUUUGCAAGCAAACUGCUAGAAGAUUUCCGAAGCUGGUAAACGUCGGGCUAGCAUCAGUAGUGUAGCUUCUCUUGACAUGUUAGGUGCAGCCUCAUUAAUUGUACAUCAUGUCAAUGACAAGUUAACUGACCAGCAGAAAUGUCCAGGGAACGUAUUUGGCAAGUGUACUCCCAAAACAUGGGAUGAUCAUGGAAUUUGUAAGAAGUCAAGUAGUCCUUACGUAUUGGGCAAUGAAAGAGAUUGUAUAGUAGCUGAUUUUUGGCUGGUAUAUGUGAUUGUAUGUUGUUACUAUAGUUGAUAAUAAAAACUUUUGUUACUAAUU